AUCAUAUUUAUUCCUCAGAAUCAACUACUACGCAAGACCCCACGAAGAUAUCUACUACGGAACCCACCACCUCACAUCCUUCCAAAACAACUCGACAUACCACAACGAUGUCUACGACGGAACCCACCACCUCAUACCCUGCCACAACGACUCAAUCAACUACUACACAAGAUACAACAACGAUGUCUACGACGGAACCCACCAACUCAUACCCUGCCACAACGACUCAAUCAACUACUACACAAGAUACAACAACGAUGUCUACGACGGAACCCACCACCUCAUACCCUGCCACAACGACUCGUAAGAAAACUUCAUUUACACCACCUCUCCC